GCACNAACGCUGUGCGGCGUGCUUAACACAUGCAAGUCGAACGAUGAAGCCCUUCGGGGUGGAUUAGUGGCGAACGGGUGAGUAACACGUGGGCAAUCUGCCCUUCACUCUGGGACAAGCCCUGGAAACGGGGUCUAAUACCGGAUAACACCUGCCCGGGCAUCUGGGUGGGUUAAAAGCUCCGGCGGUGAAGGAUGAGCCCGCGGCCUAUCAGCUUGUUGGUGAGGUAGUGGCUCACCAAGGCGACGACGGGUAGCCGGCCUGAGAGGGCGACCGGCCACACUGGGACUGAGACACGGCCCAGACUCCUACGGGAGGCAGCAGUGGGGAAUAUUGCACAAUGGGCGAAAGCCUGAUGCAGCGACGCCGCGUGAGGGAUGACGGCCUUCGGGUUGUAAACCUCUUUCAGCAGGGAAGAAGCGAAAGUGACGGUACCUGCAGAAGAAGCGCCGGCUAACUACGUGCCAGCAGCCGCGGUAAUACGUAGGGCGCAAGCGUUGUCCGGAAUUAUUGGGCGUAAAGAGCUCGUAGGCGGCUUGUCACGUCGGGUGUGAAAGCCCGGGGCUUAACCCCGGGUCUGCAUUCGAUACGGGCUAGCUAGAGUGUGGUAGGGGAGAUCGGAAUUCCUGGUGUAGCGGUGAAAUGCGCAGAUAUCAGGAGGAACACCGGUGGCGAAGGCGGAUCUCUGGGCCAUUACUGACGCUGAGGAGCGAAAGCGUGGGGAGCGAACAGGAUUAGAUNCCCUGGUAGUCCACGCCGUAAACNGUGGGAACUAGGUGUNGGCGACAUUCCACGUCGUCGGUGCCGNANCUAACGCAUUAAUUNCCCGCCUGGGGAAUCCNGCCCCAGGNUAAACUCAANGAAUUGACGGGGNCCCCCCAANNCCGGAANUNNGGNUAAUUCNACCACNNNAA
rnacentral:rRNA from 1 species